GUGGGGAAUUUUGGACAAUGGGGGCAACCCUGAUCCAGCCAUGCCGCGUGCGGGAAGAAGGCCUUCGGGUUGUAAACCGCUUUUGUCAGGGAAGAAAUCCUUUGGGUUAAUACCUCGGAGGGAUGACGGUACCUGAAGAAUAAGCACCGGCUAACUACGUGCCAGCAGCCGCGGUAAUACGUAGGGUGCGAGCGUUAAUCGGAAUUACUGGGCGUAAAGCGUGCGCAGGCGGUUUUGUAAGAUCGAUGUGAAAUCCCCGGGCCCAACCUGGGAACUGCAUUGGUGACUGCAAGGCUGGAGUGCGGCAGAGGGGGAUGGAAUUCCGCGUGUAGCAGUGAAAUGCGUAGAUAUGCGGAGGAACACCGAUGGCGAAGGCAAUCCCCUGGGCCUGCACUGACGCUCAUGCACGAAAGCGUGGGGAGCAAACAGGAUUAGAUACCCUGGUAGUCC
rnacentral:rRNA from 1 species